GGCGGCCUGGAGGGUACCGCCCCGGCCCCUGCCGGGCGCCGAGCGCUGGGAUAGCGAUCGACUACUGGAUCUUGGUACCGGCGUCCGCCCCC
rnacentral:tRNA from 2 species